rnacentral:rRNA from 1 species
CGGCGUGCCUAACACAUGCAAGUCGAACGCGAAAGUCCCGCAAGGGAUCAGUAGAGUGGCAAACGGGUGAGUAACACGUGGGUGACCUGCCUUCGAGUGGGGGAUAACGUCCCGAAAGGGACGCUAAUACCGCAUGACAUCCUGCCUUUGAAGAGGCGGAGCUUAAAGCUGGGGAUCGCAAGACCUAGCGCUUGGAGAGGGGCCCGCGCCUGAUUAGCUAGUUGGUGAGGUAAUGGCUCACCAAGGCAACGAUCAGUAUCCGGCCUGAGAGGGCGGACGGACACACUGGGACUGAGACACGGCCCAGACUCCUACGGGAGG